CAUAGGUUUCUUGUUGGUUGAUUUCUCUAUGCUAUAGAGAAUGAUAUUAAGAAUUUUAGAUUGUACUCGAGUGAUUACUUGAGACCUAGAUUAGAUGUUAUUCCAAAGUAUUGAUUUGCUAAUUGAUUAAGUAAAUAUUAAGUUUUAACCAUGUUGAGUGUUCAUAAAUGUAAGUGAUUUUCCAAUUAAUAGAUGAUCGCUUCUAUGUAUGUGUCUAUGUAUAAAAAUAGAAUUCAUGUUGAGGCAUGAGUUUCUAGAAAGUAAUGAUAUUGACCUUGUAUGCACAUGUAUAUGUGUUUGAUGCAGAUGAUGAAUUGAGACAGCACAAAAAGGGCUAUGUUUGCGCAGGUACUGAAGAUUAUGGAAUGGAUUAACUGCUAGCUUAAGAGAUUUAUAGCUGUGUAGUUAGGAUUUUAGUACUUUGUACUCAUAGAUGUUUGUACUAUUUGCUUGUAAUAUGUCUAGACAUUUACUUGUAAUUAAUAAGUUUCAUGCAGGCUUUAGUGUCAUAUGUGACACAUGUUUCUUUGUAAAUAGUGUAAAGAUUUUUAAUGUAUUUUCUAGAAGAUGUCAGUUAAAGCUCUGAA